ensembl:ncRNA F49E10.10 ncRNA
UAUGGAAAAAAGUGUGGUCCCGCAUGUGUGAUAACUUGAAUGAAGUUGAACCGAAUAGGAAGAAUAAAAGAGUGGGGUUGACUGAAGCGGACACUUGUCGGAAGCUCGGAAGCUUGCCGGUCAACUUAUGUAAUAGACGGGAGAAGAGAAGACGGGUCCACCCUCUCGCCUUCCUAAUUAGCCGU